UGAACAUGCAUUGGUGGUUCUAGCUGAAUCUGCAUUCAAUAGGUUUUGACUUGCAGGUGACAGAUGCAACAUAUUAUCAUCAAACAAAAGGUUGGCAAUUGGAGAUAUUACUUGGUUGUCGUCAGUUUUAUCAUCCUCAUUUGAGUUUGACUCUUUAUCUUUAUAUUCACUCCAGGUUAUGUUCAUAGCUUUCUUACCUCGGAACCUCUUUAAGGUGCUUGUACACUCAGCCAUUAUGUUCCUCGACCCUUUGCAUUCAUGAAAUGGAACACGAUUUUGUCUCUUUUCCAUAGAUGAGGUAGGGCUUUGCCUAGAGUUACCGAAUAUCUUCUUCUUUUGGGGUGGUUAAGUUUUUGAGCUUCUUCCUUUCUUGUUGUUUUUCAAAAAUUUCUUCAAUUGUUUAGUGAGCAUGGCCAUUUGGUCCUCAUUCUCACUUCCAUCAUCUUCUUCCUCUAUCUCUAUCUUCUUGGCUUUAAAGGCAGUUCCUGAUCCUCUUUUCUUCUUUCUUCCGUAAAGAUGUAGCUCAUAGCUCAUCAAGUAUCCUACCUAUUCUUCCACUUUAAUGAUAGUGGUUACCUCGGAUUGGAACCUAUCAGGCAAUGAUUU
rnacentral:lncRNA from 1 species